UGAGCAAUCUGCCCUUCUCUUUGGAAUAAGCGUUGGAAACAACGUCUAAUGCCGAAUACGACCUCCUUUCGCAUGAUCGGAGGUGGAAAGCUCCGGCGGAGAAGGAUGAGCUCGCGGCCUAUCAGCUAGUUGGUGUGGGUAAUGGCCUACCAAGGCGACGACGGGUAGCCGGCCUGAGAGGGUGACCGGCCACACUGGGACUGAGACACGGCCCAGACUCCUACGGGAGG
rnacentral:rRNA from 1 species